rnacentral:rRNA from 1 species
UACGAAGGGGGCUAGCGUUGCUCGGAAUCACUGGGCGUAAAGGGUGCGUAGGCGGGUCUUUAAGUCAGGGGUGAAAUCCUGGAGCUCAACUCCAGAACUGCCUUUGAUACUGAAGAUCUUGAGUUCGGGAGAGGUGAGUGGAACUGCGAGUGUAGAGGUGAAAUUCGUAGAUAUUCGCAAGAACACCAGUGGCGAAGGCAGCUCACUGGCCCGAUACUGACGCUGAGGCACGAAGGCGUGGGGAGCAAACAGG